UACGUAGGGACCGAGCGUUGUCCGGAUUCAUUGGGCGUAAAGAGCUCGUAGGCGGCUGCUCAAGUCGAAUGUGAAAACUCGAGGCUCAACCUCGAGCCUGCAUUCGAUACUGGGCGGCUAGAGUCUGGUAGGGGGAUCUGGAAUUCCUGGUGUAGCGGUGAAAUGCGCAGAUAUCAGGAGGAACACCGGUGGCGAAGGCGGGUCUCUGGGCCGAUACUGACGCUGAGGAGCGAAAGCGUGGGGAGCGAACAGG
rnacentral:rRNA from 1 species